rnacentral:rRNA from 1 species
GAUCACUUGGCUCGUGGGGUCAAAACGCCGGACGUGGUGACUUGUUCAUUAACAAAAACCUCUCACAACUCUAGACGGGGUAUUCACUUUGGCUCGUGCGUCAAA